rnacentral:rRNA from 1 species
UCCCAGUUCGGAUUGUAGUCUGCAACCCGACUACAUGAAGCUGGAAUCGCUAGUAAUCGCGAAUCAGAAUGUCGCGGUGAAUACGUUCCCGGGUCUUGUACACACCGCCCGUCACACCAUGGGAGUUGGAAAUGCCCGAAGUCAGUGACCCAACCGCAAGGAGGGAGCUGCCGAAGGCAGGUCCGGUAACUGGGGUGAAGUCGUAACAAGGUACC